CAAGUGUUUCAGACUUCUUUUCUUCUUGGAAUUCUGAGGAAUUUGCUUUUUGGAAACACUAAUGAACCCCUUGCGUGUCCUUUGCGUGCCCUUUUCACACCUCCCUGCGCGCGUCGACCCAUUUUUUCUAGGUGACGCACGCGACGCAAGCCAUUGGUCCGCUAACUACGUCCUUUACGGAGUCUCACAUUUCCGUUUUCAUAGCACAAUACCGCCAUUAUUAAAACGAAGAAUGUUUUACGAGAGAACGGAGCAGAUUGAAGAACUUUUGUCGGAAGAAAUGCGUAAGUAUGACCGCUUAUACAAGCCGUCAUUGGCGGACUAAAAGGACGCGCGGAUGGCCUCUGAUUCAUGGAGGGAGAUCUCCGCAAACGGCGGUUUGCCGUUCGUGAGGUGUACAAAGUUGUGGAGUCUACCCGGGAAAGAGCACCGAAGCGACGGUGCACCUUCGUUGGACCUCGCGCUACGAGGAAGUCACUACACAGGAUUGCUGUGUUGCACUUAAGGUGGCAGAGUCGUCUGCAGGAGAACAUCUGAAAUGGGAUUCUUGGAGAACAACAGAUUGCCAAUGUCACGUCUGGCAACCAUCACAUUUUAAUGCAAACAUUAAUAUCAAGCUGGACUUGUUUCACUGCAUGAGGCGGUUCCUCCGUGAGUGUGUGUCGGUGGCAUCCCGCCCAGUACAGUUCCUUUGCUCAGUUCCUCUGGACUGGGACAAGCACAACAGCAAGACAGAUCACACCCAGGCCCCGAAUCCACCUCCUCAAAGUGAUCCACUCGCUACCCAGUCGGAGAAACUCUACGUCCGCCGUCGCUGGCAGUUAUCGACCUGCUGCUCAACAAACACCGUGAGCAGAAGGACAUGCUGAAGCUUGUGGACCAGGACUACGCUGCUCUAGUUCACAACUCCUGCACAGACCCCAACAGCAUGCUCCACC
ensembl:lncRNA